rnacentral:rRNA from 1 species
GACAGCAGUCGCCGCGGUAAUACCGAGGGUGCGAGCGUUAAUCGGAUUUACUGGGCGUAAAGCGUGCGUAGGCGGCUUCUUAAGUCGGAUGUGAAAUCCCUGAGCUUAACUUAGGAAUUGCAUUCGAUACUGGGAAGCUAGAGUAUGGGAGAGGAUGGUAGAAUUCCAGGUGUAGCGGUGAAAUGCGUAGAGAUCUGGAGGAAUACCGAUGGCGAAGGCAGCCAUCUGGCCUAAUACUGACGCUGAGGUACGAAAGCAUGGGGAGCAAACAGGAUUAGAGACCCCAGUAGUCCUGUCUCUUAUACA